CAGUAGCCACGGUAAUACGAGGGGGGCAAGCGUUGUUCGGAAUUAUUGGGCGUAAAGGGCGCGUAGGCGGUUUGGCAAGUUUGGUGUGAAAUCUUCGGGCUCAACUCGAAGUCUGCACCGAAAACUGCCGGGCUUGAGUAUGGGAGAGGUGAGUGGAAUUUCCGGUGUAGCGGUGAAAUGCGUAGAUAUCGGAAGGAACACCUGUGGCGAAAGCGGCUCACUGGACCAUUACUGACGCUGAGGCGCGAAAGCUAGGGGAGCAAACAGGAUUAGAUACCCCGGUAGUCCCUGUCUCUUAUAC
rnacentral:rRNA from 1 species